rnacentral:rRNA from 1 species
AUUGAACGCUGGCGGCAGGCCUAACACAUGCAAGUCGAACGGCAGCACAGAAGAGCUUGCUCUUUGGGUGGCGAGUGGCGGACGGGUGAGUAAUGUCUGGGAAACUGCCCGAUGGAGGGGGAUAACUACUGGAAACGGUAGCUAAUACCGCAUAACGUCGCGAGACCAAAGUGGGGGACCUUCGGGCCUCACACCAUCGGAUGUGCCCAGAUGGGAUUAGCUAGUAGGUGGGGUAAUGGCUCACCUAGGCGACGAUCCCUAGCUGGUCUGAGAGGAUGACCAGCCACACUGGAACUGAGACACGGUCCAGACUCCUACGGGAGGCAGCAGUGGGGAAUAUUGCACAAUGGGCGUAAGCCUGAUGCAGCCAUGCCGCGUGUAUGAAGAAGGCCUUCGGGUUGUAAAGUACUUUCAGCGGGGAGGAAGGCGGUGAGGUUAAUAACCUCGCCGAUCGACGUUACCCGCAGAAGAAGCACCGGCUAACUCCGUGCCAGCCGCCGCAGUAA